UCGGGAAUUUUGGGCAAUGGGCGAAAGCCUGACCCAGCAACGCCGCGUGAAGGAUGAAGUAUUUCGGUAUGUAAACUUCGAAAGAAUAGGAAGAAUAAAUGACGGUACUAUUUAUAAGGUCCGGCUAACUACGUGCCAGCAGCCGCGGUAAUACGUAGGGACCAAGCGUUGUUCGGAAUCACUGGGCGUAAAGCGCACGUAGGCGGAUGUGCCAGUCAGGGGUGAAAUCCCGGAGCUCAACUCCGGAACUGCCUCUGAUACUGCACGUCUUGAGUUCGAGAGAGGUGGGUGGAAUUCCUAGUGUAGAGGUGAAAUUCGUAGAUAUUAGGAAGAACACCGGUGGCGAAGGCGGCCCACUGGCUCGAUACUGACGCUGAGGUGCGAAAGCGUGGGGAGCAAACAGGAUUAGAUACCCGGGUAGUCCCUGAGCGGGCUGGCAAGGCGCAU
rnacentral:rRNA from 1 species